rnacentral:misc_RNA from 1 species
GCAUGUGGAUCGCAUUCUCUAGGUACCUGGCAGUUCUCUAUAUCCCACCACACCGAGGUCUUGGCCGUGACAUACUGCGUCUCUGCUACUCCUUCGCCGCCCAUAGUUUCCCCGAUCAACCGGAUAAUUGAUAAUCAAUAAACCCAGGCAGCGGCUCCACCAGCAGCGAAGGUAUAGAGAGGUUCGCUCUGGCUUCUAAUGAAGUCAGAAAAAACCUGAAGGGUUAACCCCUUGGCACGAGAUUGGAUAAGAAGAGAAGAUGCCGUUUAGGGACUUUAAUAGUAAGCCGAUUCGCAGGAGAAAUUGCUAUUACGCCCUUGAUGGGUAGUCGCCAACGUGGGCGGUGAUGCCCUUUUUUCAUUUUUUUUAAUAGUAAAAUUAUAGUGUGAGACUCUGAUUUUUCAGACUCUGAUUUUUGUGACAGAGACCGGCGUAU